UAUGAUCUCAUCAAGAUCAUCCAUUCAGCUCACCUGGAUGCUCUCCCUCUUGUGUUUUAUAGCUUUUCCCAAUGUGGCUCCUGAUUGGCUCAAUACUCAUCUUAUGACUUCACCCACUUUCUCUCUGGCUCAUGAAAAAACACUGAUCUGCCCAGUAACUACCAGCCCUUGCUUCUGGAUGGGUCUGGCCACUUCAAGCAAAUAACAUUGCUCUGUUUCCAUGCAAGUGUACACAGAGAGACAAACAGAAAUCCAUUAAUUUCUCAACUGCCUCUCCAUCUCCAAACAAAAUACUGUAGUGCAAAAGGAUCCAACUCAGGCAAAAGGGAUAUGAACUGCCAUAAUCUACAGUGUCUACAAUUUCAGAGUCAUCUAUUGAUACCACCAGGGUUGCAACUAAACAGACAUCAGACAGUAAAUUACCUGUAUUUAAAAAAAAGACUCUUUGUCAUCCAGUAAAACCAUGGAUGAGUUUAUAAUCAGGACCAGCAAAUCUAGAAGAAGAUAACUUAGGGAACCUGAAAGAUAUACGGGUGCAGUGCUCAAUUGAUGCAUGUUCUAGCCAAAACUUAAGUACAAUUCCAGGAGUAAAAGAAAGUAGUGUUGAAAUUGCAAAGUACUUCUGUAACAGCCAGUUUGCUUCAGCUUCCCCAAAGAGAGCAGGAGGAGCUAAACUAAUUCUCCCCCAAGAUGUAUGAUGGAAUUCAGUGGUUGACUGUUUUGAGCUGUUUAUUAAGAACUGGCCUAUUCUGAUGAAAAUUUGUGAAGAAAAUUGUGAUAAAAUAGAUGGGAUUAUCAUAGACAAAAUAGUCAGCAUCGGACUAAAGAGAAAUGUAGAAGACAUGCUGAAGUUCCUGAAACCUAUUUCCAUAGCCUUGGACAAACUUUUUAGUGUAUGUGCAACAUGCCUCAGGUGGCACAUGACCAGGAUUCAUCACCGAAUUUCAGUCCACUGAUUGGAUCAUUAGCUUCCCCGGCCCAGGAUAGGUACUGACGGGGAGUGUAAUGUGAAUGCUGAUCCAUGUCCUCCUUGGGCAAACUCUAGAAAGAUUACUGCUGUGUUGCUGACACUGUUGAAAUUUGGAAAGAACUUCAAGAGACACUGAAGAAAGUAUACCCAACAACAAAGUUAAAUUGCAGGCAGUAAAGAAGUAAAUGAAUCAAGCACUUUCUCCACCUCUUUUCCAUGCCAGUAUUUUCAACCCAAGGUAUCCAGGUAGAUGCCUAACUGCUGAAGAACAUGCUGCUGUUACAACAUGGACAUCUAAUAAUCACCCCUCAGUCAUUCCAACUAUACUAAAUGUCAAGGCUGGAGGUGAACCACUCAAGCAGUACCUGUUUGCUGAUGAUGUUUUAAAGAAAGUCACACCAUUGAACUGGAUAAGCACCUGGGACCAGAGUUAGUUGAAGUGC